rnacentral:rRNA from 1 species
GACCAGACUCCUACGGGAGGCAGCAGUGAGGAAUAUUGGUCAAUGGGCGGGAGCCUGAACCAGCCAAGCCGCGUGAAGGAAGAAGGCGCCAGGCGUCGUAAACUUCUUUUGUCGGGGAACAAAGGGCGCCACGCGUGGCGUUGUGAGUGUACCCGAAGAAAAAGCAUCGGCUAACUCCGUGCCAGCAGCCGCGGUAAUACGUAGGGGGCAAGCGUUAUCCGGAUUUACUGGGUGUAAAGGGCGUGUAGGCGGGAGUGCAAGUCAGAUGUGAAAACUAUGGGCUCAACCCAUAGCCUGCAUUUGAAACUGUACUUCUUGAGUGCUGGAGAGGCAAUCGGAAUUCCGUGUGUAGCGGUGAAAUGCGUAGAUAUACGGAGGAACACCAGUGGCGAAGGCGGAUUGCUGGACAGUAACUGACGCUGAGGCGCGAAAGCGUGGGUAGCGAACGGGAUUAGAUACCCCCGUAGU